GCCCGCCUAGCUCAAUCGGAUAGAGCGUCAGACUCUUAUCCUUGGCGGAGCGAAGCGAUCUGAAGGCUGCGAGUUCGACCCUCGCGGUGGGCU